GGUUAAGUAGUUCACAAGACCGUCAAAUGUCCGUGUCACCGCGGGCGUCGGAUACUGACGCCCCCCCGGUGACACGUGUCCCUGCGUGUCCCUGUGCGUCCUCUCCCGAUGCGCUGGGGCACCCUGAUCGUCAUAUUUUGACGCUUGGUCACACGCGUCAUUAUUUGACGCUUUGGGUGUGAGGAUGUGUUGUCAGCGUAACUGUGGAAAUUCACUCCGCGUCUCCUGAUGACGCCGCCCAGAGGGAGCAUAUAGAGGUUAAAAAGCACUGUGCCUAAGACUGAACCCUGGGGCACACCACAAGUGAUGCUGUGGACCCCAGAGGAACAGGUAUCCAAACUCACCAUAAAACUCCUGUCUGUGAGGUAGGAAGUGAACCAUCUAUGAACAGCACCAGAACAGCAAUCACAGCAUGAUGUGUGAAGCCAAAGUGCACCGAUCUGGUGCAGGUACCGAUCCGGUUCAGGUACCGACCCGGUGCAGGUACCAAUCUGGUUCCUGCACCUGCUGCAUGGUUUCUCCACAGCAGCAGGUGAGGUCCAGGUACCGAUCCGGUCCAGGUACUGAUCUGGUUCAGGUACCGAUCCAGUUCAGGUACCGAUCCGGUGUACCGAUCCGGUGCAGGUACUGAUCUGGUUCAGGUCCCGAUCCGGUGUACCAACCUGGUGCAGGUACCGAUCCAGUUCCUGCAUCUGCUGCAUGGUUUCACCACAGCAGUAGGUGAGGUCCAGGUACCGAUCCGGUCCAGGUACUGAUCCGGUUCCUGCACCUGCUGCAUGGUUUCUUCACAGCAGCAGGUGAGGUGCAGGUACCGAUCAGGUGUACCGAUCCAGUUCAGGUACUGAUCCGGUUCAGGUACCAAUCCGGUUCCUGCACCUGCUGCAUGGUUUCUCCACAGCAGCAGGUGAGGUCCAGGUACCGAUCCAGUUCAGGUACCAAUCCAGUGCAGGUACCGAUCCGGUUCAGGUAUUGAUCCAGUUCCUGCACCUGCUGCAUGGUUUCUCCACAGCAGCAGGUGAGGUGCAGGUACCGAUCAGGUGCAGGUACGGAUCCGGUAUACCGAUCCAGUUCAGGUCCCGAUCUGAUGCAGGUACUGAACCGGUUCAGGUACCAAUCCAGUGUACCGAUGUGGUGCAGGUACCGAUCCGGUUCCUGCACCAGUCAUCGGGAGCUGCUGAUGAUUGGAGCAGAAAGCUGCAACAGGAAAUCAGACAUGAUGGAUCUGAAACCCAGGUUUUCCACGUGACGCGCCUGCCUCUCACAAGCACGAGGGAAAAGCCUUCGGUGGAGUAUGACGUCACUCACAUGGAUUAUAUUACUGAUGAUGUUCUAGUGAACAGGAGGGACGAACCUU